rnacentral:sRNA from 1 species
GCGGCCGGUGCUCGGNNCGGUUCCUGCGCGCCGUCCGCACCCACCUGGCGACUGCUCGCUACGUUUUGUGAGCC